UUGCCUACGGGGCGCAGCAGUAGGGAAUAUUGCUCAAUGGGGGAAACCCUGAAGCAGCAACGCCGCGUGGAGGAUGAAGGAUUUCGGAUUGUAAACUCCUUUUGUUAGGGAAGAUAAUGACGGUAUCUAACGAAUAAGCACCGGCUAACUCCGUGCCAGCAGCCGCGGUAAUACGGAGGGUGCAAGCGUUACUCGGAAUCACUGGGCGUAAAGAGCGCGUAGGCGGGAUAGCAAGUCAGGUGUGAAAUCCUGUGGCUUAACCAUAGAACUGCAUUUGAAAUUGUUAUUCUAGAGUGUGGGAGAGG
rnacentral:rRNA from 1 species